rnacentral:rRNA from 1 species
UGACCAACCUGCCCUAACUCUGGGAUAACCCGGAAACCGGAGCUAAUACCGGAUACGAGACCGAGUGGCAUCACACGGUCUGGAAAGUUUUUCGGUUAGGGAUGGGGUCGCGGCCUAUCAGCUUGUUGGUUGGGUAAUGGCCUACCAAGGCGACGACGGGUAGCCGGCCUGAGAGGGUGACCGGCCACACUGGGACUGAGACACGGCCCAGACUCCUACGGGAGGCA